UAUUUUAAAUGUAUUUUAGUUUUUUUUUUAAUUCGUAUGUAUUUUGUAAAUAUUACAAAAUUGAUGAUGUGGCGCGCCUUAGGGCGCCCACUGCAUGUGGAGAAGGAGGAGGAUAAAAAUGCUGAUGUAGCGCGCCUUAGAGCGGCCCAUUGCUGAUGGUCUAAUAAACAUUCUUGUUCUCAUAUGGCCUCUUAGUACUUUAGCAAUAAUCCCCUUUGUUUGAAAGUUGCAGGAAACUUAAAGGAAGGAGGCAGGAGCUGCUGGGAAAGAGGGGAGGGCAGCUGAUUCUUGCAGGCUGUCCUCUUGGUUUGACUCAAAGAGUAAUUAUGGCUCUUGUUUUUAUUCUCAUGCACUUUCGGUUGUGAGGGUGGGGAGGUGCAGGAGCAUUUUUUUGCUAUUUUAGGUUCUUGUAUCCCAAGAUGGAAGGGCAGAUUUGGGUUGCUAAUGGGCUGACCCUCGGCCGCCAGCCCUCCGUCACCGGCUGAACCAUCGGGCCUCCAAAGGAUGUGGUCCGUGCUUGAAGAGAAGAGGCCCACUGUUUAUAUUUAUUUAUUUGUAUUUUUAAGUUCCUUCCCAACGUGUAUAUAAUGAGGAAGUUAUUAAGGCGUCACUCGAUAUACAUAAAAAUUCCGAACACUUUUAGUUCGUGAAGAAUAUCUUUAAAUUCUUGUACCACAUUCAUUGUAUUUCCUAAACAUACUUUUAUCACUUUAGCUUUUAUUUUGCAAACUAACAA